GCUGCUGAAGCAUCAGAUGAAGAUGUUGAGGCCUACAUCGGCAAAGCCACCGGUGGUGUGCUGAUUUAUCUAUUACUUUUCUUAAACAACAUAUAUAGAAAUUGUCCCACUCCUGUUUACUACACAAAGAUGUUAAGUGUAUUGCAACACAAUAAAUGUUUUUAUGACUAAGUUUUUAAUCCAAAAUAUUCCGAGUUUAGUUAUGUAUUGGUUAUUAUUACUCCAGUCCAAUCAUGGUUAUUACCUGUUUAUAUAUCUGCCAGGAUAUUUACUCCUUUGGUGAACGCAGAGAUGAAUUGAGACAAUAAUGGAAUGGUGACCUUCAAGGAAUUCCUUUUUGCUUUUACUCAACCGAAGAUUAGGCGUUCUGAAUCGAUCGAGCCAGCCCCUCAGGAGGCCUCCAGCAGCUCCCUCCUGUCGUGCCUCGGAAGUAGUAGCUCAUGUUCUAUAUGUGGCGAGCUGAUGGUAGAAAUUACCAGGUUCAUUCUCUUCUGUGAUAUGUGAAGCUCGAGUGAAAAGAAAAAUUAUGUGAUGAGAACAUAGCAGCUGAAGUUGGAAUAUAUUGAGAUGUCUAUAAUGUGGUGUGGUGUGACCCAUGAUUGACAGAUUAAGAAGAUUUGGUGGGCUUGGCUUGAUGACAGGCGACAGCAUUGUUUUUUUUGGAUGAGUCGGGCGAUGGAAGUUGGUCAGCAUGCACCAGAGGUUGAGGCUGCUGAAGCAUCAGAUGAAGA